rnacentral:tRNA from 5 species
GCGGGUGUCGUUCAAUGGUAGGACGCGAGCUUCCCAAGCUUGAGACCGGAGUUCGAUUCUCCGUACCCGCACCA